GACAGAGGGUGCAAACGUUGUUCGGAAUUACUGGGCGUAAAGCACGUGUAGGCUGUCUCGCAAGUCGGGUGUGAAAGCCCUGGGCUCAACCUAGGAAGUGCACUCGAAACUGCGAGACUUGAGUCCUGGAGAGGAAGGCGGAAUUCUCGGUGUAGAGGUGAAAUUCGUAGAUAUCGAGAGGAACACCGGUGGCGAAGGCGGCCUUCUGGACAGUGACUGACGCUGAGACGCGAAAGCGUGGGGAGCAAACAGG
rnacentral:rRNA from 1 species